UACAGAGGUGGCAAGCGUUGUUCGGAAUUACUGGGCGUAAAGGGCGCGUAGGCGGUCAGGUCAGUCCCGUGUGAAAUCCCUCGGCUCAACUGAGGAACUGCACGGGAAACUACCUGGCUUGAGUUCGGGAGAGGGAAGCGGAAUUCCGGGUGUAGCGGUGAAAUGCGUAGAUAUCAGAAGGAACGCCGGCGGCGAAAGCGGCGCACUGGACCCUUUCUGACGCUGAGGCGCGAAAGCCAGGGGAGCAAACGGG
rnacentral:rRNA from 1 species